CCUGUCCCUAGAAGCAUUGCCCGUGUGGUUGCUCUGUCACAUGUGCAUCAGGAGGUGACAGAGAGGACAGAGGCUCUGUCAAGGCUCUGUGUUCUGACCUAUGAACAUCUGAAUGAUUAGUAGCCUAGCAUU
ensembl:snoRNA Gm22011 small nucleolar RNA SNORA17